rnacentral:rRNA from 1 species
UAAUACGUAGGGUGCAAGCGUUAAUCGGAAUUACUGGGCGUAAAGCGUGCGCAGGCGGUUAUAUAAGACAGAUGUGAAAUCCCCGGGCUCAACCUGGGAACUGCAUUUGUGACUGUAUAGCUAGAGUACGGCAGAGGGGGAUGGAAUUCCGCGUGUAGCAGUGAAAUGCGUAGAUAUGCGGAGGAACACCGAUGGCGAAGGCAAUCCCCUGGGCCUGUACUGACGCUCAUGCACGAAAGCGUGGGGAGCAAACAGGA